AUGAAUAUCCGAUUUAUUUCCUAAGGUUCAAUCAGAAAUUCUACAAUCUCUAUUCUCAUCACAUUUUCUCAUUUCCACAAUCAAGCAAUUUAUGCUAUAAUAAUUUCAAUAAAAUUUAAAUACAUAUAAUAUUAAUAUAGUUGUACUAUUUAUAUGCAACUUACCUCGAAUUUCAAAAUGUGGCAACUAGUCGAUUUAGUCGAUUUGCUUGUGUAACGUCCCUUAACCCUAUACCG
rnacentral:lncRNA from 1 species